rnacentral:misc_RNA from 1 species
GAUGAAGAACGUAGCGAAAUGCGAUAAGUAAUGCGAAUUGCAGAAUUCAGUGAGUCAUCGAAUCUUUGAACGCACAUUGCGCCCGAAGCCAUUAGGCCGAGGGCACGCCUGCCUGGGUGUCACACACCGUUACCCUCGCGCCAACGUCCAUCGUUGGCCGCGGCGCGGGGCGUGCGCUGACCUCCCGCGAGCGGGGUCUCGUGGUUGGUUGAAAAUCGAGUUCGCGGUCGAGGGUGCCGUGAUGAAAUGGUGGAUGGGCGACGCCCGAGGCCAAUCACGCGCGACUCUGUCCGGCUCGGACUCCUGGACCCCUUCGGCGUCUCCGGACGCUCUUUGGCGAGACCUCAGGUCAGGCGGGGCUACCCGCUGAGUUUAAGCAUAUCAAUAAGCGGAGGA